rnacentral:rRNA from 1 species
AUUGAACGCUGGCGGCAUGCUUUACACAUGCAAGUCGAACGGCAGCGCGGGCUUCGGCCUGGCGGCGAGUGGCGAACGGGUGAGUAAUGCAUCGGAACGUGCCCAGUAGUGGGGGAUAGCCCGGCGAAAGCCGGAUUAAUACCGCAUACGACCUGAGGGUGAAAGCGGGGGACCGAAAGGCCUCGCGCUAUUGGAGCGGCCGAUGUCGGAUUAGCUAGUUGGUGGGGUAAAGGCUUACCAAGGCGACGAUCCGUAGCUGGUCUGAGAGGACGACCAGCCACACUGGGACUGAGACACGGCCCAGACUCCUACGGGAGGCAGCAGUGGGGAAUUUUGGACAAUGGGGGCAACCCUGAUCCAGCCAUGCCGCGUGCGGGAAGAAGGCCUUCGGGUUGUAAACCGCUUUUGUUCGGGAAGAAAUCCUCUGGGCUAAUACCCCGGGGAGAUGACGGUACCGGAAGAAUAAGCACCGGCUAACUACGUG